rnacentral:rRNA from 1 species
UGCUUACACAUGCAAGUCGAACGAUGAACCGGUUUCGGCCGGGGAUUAGUGGCGAACGGGUGAGUAACACGUGGGCAAUCUGCCCUGCACUCUGGGAUAAGCCCGGGAAACUGGGUCUAAUACCGGAUACGACACUCCGAGGCAUCUUGGGGUGUGGAAAGUUCCGGCGGUGCAGGAUGAGCCCGCGGCCUAUCAGCUUGUUGGUGGGGUAAUGGCCUACCAAGGCGACGACGGGUAGCCGGCCUGAGAGGGUGACCGGCCACACUGGGACUGAGACACGGCCCAGACUCCUACGGGAGGCAGCAGUGGGGAAUAUUGCACAAUGGGCGAAAGCCUGAUGCAGCGACGCCGCGUGAGGGAUGACGGCCUUCGGGUUGUAAACCUCUUUCAGCAGGGAAGAAGCGAAAGUGACGGUACCUGCAGAAGAAGCACCGGCUAACUACGUGCCAGCAGCCGCGGUAAUACGUAGGGUGCGAGCGUUGUCCGGAAUUAUUGGGCGUAAAGAGCUCGUAGGCGGUUUGUCGCGUCGAUUGUGAAAGCCCGGGG